CGAACGGCAGGGUUAUUAGCGGGAGGAGGUCCCGUACACCGCGACGAUAAGAGCCGGUGGUUAGCUCCCGUCACGCGAUCUCACCGCGGAAAUCCCCCAUCCUCCAGGGGCUUGUGAUCUUAGCCGUUGUUCCCUACCAAACUGACCUUGUUCCUAAAAUCGGAAGAACAACGUCUGAAAACCCAUCUCUCUCGUCUCUCCUCCUUUCCAAACGCCACCAUCUUUUGAAAUACAAUUUACGUCAUUCCUUAAAUUGUUUUUUUUUUUUUUUUUAAGAGAAAUAUGACCACGAAUUUCGAUCGGUGGGAGAAAGAUCCCUUCUUCUCUGCUGCUGAAGAAGUUCAAGAAUCCGCAGACAGGAUGGAAUCUGCGUACCGAAGAUGGUUACACGGACAACGUAAUUCUUCAAUGCGUCUCGCCGGUUCCGACGAGCUCCGUAGAGAGCUGCAGACCACCCUUGGCACCACCAAAUGGCAGCUGGAGGAAUUUGAACGUGCGGUCAGAUUGAGCUACAGCAAUCCCUCGGCAGAUGACGCCAGAAGCAGGCACCGCCAUUUCGUGGCCGCGAUUGAGCACCACAUCUCGACCAUUGUGGAGUCCUUGCGGGAUUCAGUGGCUGCGGAAGGUGGGACAUCGCUGCCUUGGGUGCGGUUGGACGAGGGUGAGAGAGAUGAGCUGGCUGCGUUUCUUGUGGGGCCUGUGAUGGAUGGGGAGAUCGGUGCGGGUGUGGUGGGCAGGAAGGACGGUGAUCUCGUGGGGAUGGAGCCUGGCUGUUCGACGAAUUCGUGCCGUUUGGGUGAAUUGGGUUUGGAGGAAAAGAGAGAGAGGGCACAUGGGCACCGGAGGACAGCGAGUGCCGGCGCGGAUAUGGAGUCAUGGAGUAUCGCAGUUCCUGUCGAGGUUGACCGGCAGGGUUCGUUGAAUGGGCGGGCGGAUUUGCCCCCUCCAAGGAUUAUGAGCUUCUCUGGUAUCAUGGGGAGCAUGGAAUCAUCAUACAAGCUGACAUGGCCGAAGAAUGGUUUCAGGAAAUGGAAGGGUGGCGAUCGUCACCAUGCAGUGGAGAUUGAGCCGCUCCGGGCUCAUCAGUUGAGUCGGGGCAUUGAUGGUUGCUAUGAGAAGAGUAAAAGUUGCCUUGAUGGCUGUGAUGAAUCUUUUAAUAAGCCGCUUUAUGGAUGGGUUGGGGCCCUUCAAAGACAGUUCCAAAGAUCUCAAUAUCAAUUCCAAUAUAGUCGUCCCAUUCAAAUGACAUUUUGGGUUGUCCUCAUCAUUUGUCUGAUUGUUUUAUUUGCUCUUCAUGUAAUCUGAGUGGAUUACAAAUUCAUUUUCUAGUUGGCACAUUGGGAAAUGUGUCCCAAAGGCAGAUGCUUGAGAGGGUGUUGUAUAUUUUGUGGACAGCUGUGAUAGAUGGAGGAAAAAGUCCACAAAUUGUAGUUCAAAUGCCCAUGCAUGCCAUAUUUGAUAACUGACAAGUGGUCUUUGGAGCCUGUUUUGUAUAUUGUGUGAAGUGGUAUUGGUUGAAGAAAAAGCAAGUAGAAUUUUUGCUGUAACUAUGCCAUGAAGGGAAGCUUGAGAUUGAAACAAGUAGAGAGAUGCAUCUGGUCAUUUGCUUUCAAUCCAAGUAGAAAAAAAAAAAAAACCUCAAAACAUCUUCACAUGA